CUUGACUGUGGAGGAUUGUGAUGACAGGAGGAGCUGAGAGUCGAGGAGGUGGCAGGUGAAUGAUUUACAGACUCCAGUUUGAGCUUCUCACCUGUCCAACUCUAAAUAAACCCGGAGGAACUGAGAGCAGAGAUGUUCCGCUGCCUCUGACGGCUUUAUUAGUCCGAAUAAAAGCCACAAAUCCCGCUCAGAGUGGACGGAAAGACGGAACCACGCCGCGGGAGCCGGACUUAGCAGGUGAUUUGCUGUGAGAGGAGGUUCCUCAGAGCCAGAGCCAUGUUGUCAGCGGAGGAGAUCCUGUGCAACACCCAGCAGGUGAUCGCAGGGCUGGAGGCUCUGAGAGGGGAGAACCACGGUCUGCUGGAGAGUCUGCAGGAGGCGAUGGAGGGCCGGACGGCGUUGGAGGGCGGCAGCGUGGAGCAGGAGAAGAGCGGCAUCAUCCGCCAGUCGCUGGAGAGGAUAGAGCUGGGGCUCAGCGAGGCACAGGUGAUGAUGGCGCUGUCAGCUCAUCUCGGUUCACUGGAGGCAGAGAAACAGAAACUGAGAGCACAAGUGCGUCGUCUCUGCCAGGAGAACCAGUGGUUGAGGGAUGAGCUGGCCGGAGCUCAGCAGCGUCUGCAGGACCGGGAGCAGGAGGUGGUGACCCUGGAGGAGCAGAACCGACAUCUGCAGUUCAUGUCCUCGAUACGCAAAUAUGACCAGGAGGAGCCGCCUCUGGACGACAAAGACCCCUCUUCCAACAAGGAGUCUCUGGAUGACCUUUUUCCUGCCGAAGACGAGGAACAGUCACAGAUAUCUCAGCCUCACCACAGCAGUGCAGCAGCUGCAGCCCAGCAGGGCGGCUACGAGAUUCCCGCCCGCCUCCGAACGCUCCACAACCUGGUGAUCCAGUACGCAUCCCAGGGCCGCUACGAGGUCGCCGUACCGCUCUGCAAACAGGCUCUGGAAGACCUGGAGAAGUCCUCUGGUCACACCCACCCAGAUGUAGCCACCAUGUUGAACAUACUGGCCCUGGUGUACAGAGACCAGAACAAAUACAAAGAAGCAGCCAACCUGCUGAAUGACGCUUUGGCGAUCAGGGAGAAAACUCUUGGAAUGGAUCAUCCAGCUGUGGCAGCGACACUCAACAACCUGGCAGUGCUUUAUGGGAAAAGAGGAAAAUACAAGGAAGCGGAGCCACUUUGUAAAAGAGCUCUGGAGAUCAGAGAGAAGGUUCUGGGUACAGACCAUCCAGAUGUGGCCAAGCAGCUGAACAACCUGGCUCUGCUGUGUCAGAACCAGGGCAAGUACCAGGAAGUGGAGCAGUACUACGAACGCGCUCUGCACAUCUACCAGAGCAAACUGGGACCAGACGACGCCAACGUGGCCAAAACCAAGAACAACCUGGCGUCCUGCUAUCUGAAGCAGGGGAAAUACAGACAAGCUGAAUCUCUUUACAAAGAAAUCCUCACCAGAGCACACGAAAAGGAGUUUGGAUCUGUGGAAGGCGACGGUCGUCCCAGCUGGUCCGGUGCAGACGACGGAGGAUCCAGUAACCUGAAGAGAAGCGGCUCCUUCACCAAACUACGAGAGUCGAUACGCCGAAGCAGCGAGAAACUGGUCCGCAAGCUGAAAGGAGUCGGAGUCGAGGAAAUGACCCCGAGGAAUGCUGGGAUGAAGAGAGCCAACUCUCUGAAUGUGUUGAACGUCGGCGCCAGAGAGAAUCAGGACAGCAGCCAGCGAAGCCAUCUGACGGAUAUCCGAGGCCUGAGCUCCAGCACACAGAGUCUGACCAGACGAGGAUCUCUGGGUGGAAGCUGAAUUAGUGAGGAUGACUCCUGCUCCUGUCAUCUCUAAGCUCCUCACACAUCUUUACCUGCACAUGAGGAAAAUCACUCCUGUAGAAUGCAGAUGUUCAGAAGGAGAUGAUGCCACAUCUGGUCCAGCUGAUGGAAGGUCUUGAAGUUCUCUGACUGGCCUCGACUGAAGAUGGUCGUCUCACUGGAUUUAAGGUUCAGAUGCUCAGUAACAAACUCCACCAAUGAGCCAACAGGGAAGCUUUAGGUUUAUUAAAUGUUGCUAUGAAGGUUUCACUGUUUUUCUUUGUGAAUGCAAUGUGCUCCAACUGAAACUUGAAUUAGAACUUAGAAGUAAAUCCUUCCAUCUGAAAGGUUUUAGUUGCAUUAAUAACCUCAUAACAUUCUAAUUUUUAUUCCAGUCUUGGUUGGAAAUAGAAUCUCUGUAUUGAUUCAGGUAAAAACUGAACUUCACAGCAUGUUGGAGCAAAACAACCAGAUGAAAACUGUGAUGGUGUUGGAUUGUCAGACCGUAAUGUUGCAGCUCAAAGCAGCUUUUCUAUCUCAGUUCAUUCUGACAUUCAGCUAUGAAUCAACACAGCAGAUGGUGAUCCAUGCUGUGGAAGUCUCACAUCUCCUGAUUUAAUGGAGCUGCUUUGCACUUUUUACACUGUUUAUUCACCAACACUUUAUUUAAUAAAAGUCCCAUCGAGUUUUUAUGAGGAAUGUGAUGUUUUAAUUUCUUUGUGAAUAACUGCAGUCUAAUGGAACAACUGGAGUUGUAACAUCUGUCCUGAUAUUGAUCAUGAAGUAUUGAUCAGAAUACUUAUGGUCAGCAGUCAUCCCUGAAGUUUUACAUUAAAAUCUUUACUUGUGUUGUGAACUUUGGUAAGAAGCAGAAACGUUAGCGUUGCCAUGGAUACAUGAGUGUUAAAUUCUGUCCAUGUUUCCAUUUUGGGAAAUUCAGUCCAGCAGAUGAGUUUGUUUUAACUGCCAGCUACCAUUCAGUCUGAGAUAUUAAGAAUAAAUAAAUAUGCAUAAUGUGGAAAUUAACAGAGUUUAUUUUUAUUUAUUCCUACAGCUGGUGCUGGUAAAGUUCCAGAAUGUGGAGGAAUUUAGGAUCACAAUAACAGACAAUAAUAUUAUCUGAAAGUCGGGUUAUUGUUGUUUAUCAGCACAAUACAAAAAGAUUCAUGUUAGAAAUAUUCCAGUUAAGACUCUAGAAUAUCAUGAUUUAUGUAAAUUUACCUCAAUAAUAUGAAUGUUCAGGUUAAGAUUGUACAAUGAUAUUUAUUAUGUAAGUUUAGCUGAUUAAAGUUUAUGACUCUGCACUAAAAUAUUAUUUAAAUCGACAUCAUUAUUAUAAUAUUUAGGGUCAGACCCUACAGUAUUGAGAUUAAGAAAUCAAAUAUUCUAUAAAAUGUAAAUACACUGAACUCAUUUGGAUGUAUUUAAGUGAGACUCUACAAUAUUAUUUGACACAAAUCUAUCUAAAUCAAAAUUUUAAUCAUUUUUACUCCAAACAUUUACUGGACUGAUUUAAACAUUAAAAUCACUCCUUUCUAAUCCUCUGCUGUACGUUCAAACCUGAGGCCUUAAAUAGAAACACACAAGUAUCUGAUUGAAGGAACUUCUGCAGAGUCCUGGUUCCAGAACAUGAUGAUAGAAUUAUAGACAAACUUUAACAAAAGCUGCCUGAGAGUUUACAGCUUUUUAUGUUGGAUUUCUUCAGUAAUUUAAUAAGAAUUAUCAGCAAUAAUCAAGUGUUCAUUUGAUGAACUUGAUUUCCUAAAACAUCCAGAAUUGGAGCUCAUAUCUUUGGCAGCUGUAAAGUUUCUGCUCCUUCAAAGUUCACAACACAAUGAAUGAAUUCCUAAAACACUCUCAAUGCUGGAGAGCGUUUGAUGCUGAAGCAGUGAUCAGUUUUUCUGUUUCUUCUCUGGAGAUGCACAAUGAGGGACGUCUGCAGAGACUGAGAAAGAGUCUCACCACAUCCUGACAUGAGGAAAAAGACUUUAUUGAAGACUACAAUGAGAAAAACUAUCAGACAGCAGACGGCUGCAUUCAAGGUGAGCUCUGAACAUUUGAUCUGGAACAGGAAUUCAAUAACGGCAGCAUGAGCUUCAUUUCAGUCUGUAGCUGCUGAAUUCAUGGAUGAAUCAUCUGGCACUAGAGAGGAAGACCAUCAAACAUCCAUGUCAGCUGAUGGAGGUCCAAGAGUCUCACCCAACAACCAACCUACAGAGUGAAGACCUCAAAUCUGAUUGGACGGCCUCCUAUUCAGCCACGUGUGAACAAAUGCCUCUAAGCUGAUUUGUUUUCUAAAAUAAAUCUAGUUUGAGUCCUAAUCUA